rnacentral:rRNA from 1 species
CGUACAGGCGGUUAUAUAAGUCAGAUGUGAAAUCCUUAGGCUUAACCUAAGACUUGCAUUUGAUACUGCAUAACUUGAGAUCAGGAGAGGAGAGUGGAAUAUGUGGUGUAGCGGUGAAAUGCGUAGAGAUCACAUAGAACACCGGUGGCGAAGGCGGCUCUCUGGCCUGAUUCUGACGCUGACGCGCGAAAGCUAGGGUAGCGAACAGGAUUAGAUACCCUGGUAGUCC